GUUCUGAUGAGGUGAUUCAUUCAACCAGCAUCUACUCUGUGUUGGGAAGAUAUUCUAUCUGGGAAGACAGUGGUGGUCAAGACAGGCACGUCCUGUGCUCACGGAGCACUGUCCAGUGGAGACCUCAGGGGUAUUAACGGCAGGAGUCUUUGGAGGUAUGGACAAGUGGACUCUCAAAUUUAUAUGGGAAGUCAUCAGUGAACGAGGUGACAGGUGCAAACGGAUCACCCACUGAUGGUUUACACAUCCUGGGAGGACACCCCUCCUCCCAGCCUAAUAUGGACUGAAAAUCCAACUACCGGACUCCAGCAUCGGCACAUGCUGCAGCGCGUCACAGGGUGAAUCAGAGCAUCCCACUCACCGCACUGAACACGGCGCUCCACAAGAAGUGGUGAUAGCAGCCCCAGAGCACCCAAGCCAGAGGUUUGGAGGGGACCCAAGGUGCACAUUCUAAUGCAAAGUUCACUCUGAAAGCUGCCAGUGGCCCUAAAGUGGGGGACACUGUGAAGAGCACUCAGGACAUCUUCAGCAGCUGCCCUACCAUGCUUGCCGCAGGAAGGCCCACUCCCCUCUGCUGGUUCCCCGUUGCCUGGGCCCUGACUUGCUUCUUUCUGGGGGAACUCUGCAUGGUGUGUAGAUUAACCCUUAUCUUAAAUGCAAAGCUGGAGGAAUCACCUCACACUCGUUUGGGGAUGAUCUGAGAUGCAGAACAGGUACAUUUGAUUUUACUCCAAGUCUUUCUUCUUGACCACAGUGCCUCAAUUCAUUCUCAUUUUGCUCCUUGUCAAUUUCUUCUACUCACUGACUUAGUUUCCACAGCAGGGUCUCCAUCACAGGCCCUGGAUUCAGGAAGGGAACAAAAAGUGGGGAGGCAGAGGGGACUGGGGACAGCUAGAAUCCUAAGCAACAGCCUUCAGUUGGCUGUCCAUUUGAUCCUGUUGAAGUGCCUUGCCCGUAUGCUAAAGGAAAGGGGACCUUCCUUCUCACAUCCCUCCCCCUCUCUUCCCUCCUUCCAUAGAUGCCCCCAGGGCUGGGGGAGGGGGGCGAGCAGAGAGAAAGCACACCAGAAACCGAGGAGUUAAAGCAUUUUGGGCUCUUCACACUCCCAUAGCUGAAGACUUCUGUCAGCCUUGAGACUCUCGGAUUCUGAAACAGUUAACUUUAGAAGGAACAACAGAGUGAUUUGGAAUGUUUCCACUUAUUACAGGGAAAAGGAACGCAUUGUUCAAAUUUCUUAGCCUUUUUUUUUUUUAAUUUAAGAGAUGUGGGCUAUUAAAAUGUUUCCUCCAAAAUAAAAAGCCUUUUGAAAGUUCAAUGAAGGUAGCCACAUUUCACUGAUGUUUAUUACAGCUAGGUUUAGACGUGUAUGUGGUGUGCUGUUGGGUGAGACGUAAAGCCAGGGAUGAACAUUCUAAACUCAUCCCCAGAAAAACACACUUUGAUUAUACGUAUGAACUCUGCCCGCCUGGUGGGGGUGGGGGGCAGGUCUUGGAUCUUCCCCAGCCACCUAGUUAGGACCACUAGGCUCACAAACUUUAAGAACCAAGCUCAGGGUCACUGAGAAGCUGAGUGACCUCAAUGAAAUCCCAGCUUCGGGUCUCAGGCUUCUCAUCUGUGAAACGUAGGGCCUACACACCAGGGUCAAGAAGGCCUGUCCCAGGGGCGCCUGGGUGGCACAGUCCUUAAACGUCUGCCUUUGGCCCAGGGUGUGAUCCUGGUGUCCUGGGAUUGAGCCACAUCGGGCUCCCUGCUGGGAGCCUGCUUCCUCCUCUCCUGCUCCCCCUACUUGUGUUCCCCCUCUCUCUGGCUGUCUCUUUCAAAUAAAUAAAUAAAAUCUUAAAAAAAAAAAAAAAAGAAGGCCUCUCCCAGCCUUAAUAUCUGAUUCCACCCUAGUGCUAGUGUUUUGUGUGUGUGUGUGUG